GUUUACCAGGCUAUGACCACCAUUAAAAAGGGUACUUCUCCCAACAUAUGGCUGGCCUCUUUGAAAGAUCAAGAGUUCGCCCUAGAUCAUUUUUGUCACAGUCAUGUGGAGUCAUUGUAUCCAGGGACUGGCAACUUUCCUCGAACUCGGACCAACCUAAGACACGGGGCCCGGUGGCCAUAGAGUAACUCUAUGACGGGUAAGGCCGAGUUUGGAUGAGAACCACCUAAGACAGGAGCAAUGACAAGAUUGACGUGACACCCAGAUCUAGACCAGUCAUUUUAUUAAACAAAAAAGGGGGAGAUGUAGAGAGCUGCGUGGCAAAACAAAGAUGGUGCCGACAUCCAGCCUUGUCUGGAUAUAAACGACUUACUGCGCAUGUGCAGGCUUGUCCCCUUGCUAGGGCUCCCUCUAGUGGUGAACAGCGGUACUGCACAUGUGCGGUUUAUGCACCAGGUGUCAGUUGACCGUUGAUAUGCUAAUGAGGUGAUUCAUUCUCCGCCAAUCCCUGGAGGACAAGUAGUGGGGUGAUCCAAGCCCCACCAAUCCCUGAGAGAUAAUUAGCAUACUGUUGUCUAUAUAAACCGA
rnacentral:lncRNA from 1 species